CUCAGAUAUUGUUUUUCACUUAUUUUGGUCUUUGAUUUUUUAUUAUAGGCUUUCUUGAGAUAGUGAAUAAUCCAUAAAUUUCUACUCAUAUUGUAGUGUGGAACACUGAAAAGAUAAUUGGAAUCCCAUGGACUUGCUGACUGAAUUUCGCUAUUGAGUGCUCUGCCUGAGCUUUUCUUUCAGUAGAUAUAAGAUGCCCAUCACUUUGUGCCUUUUCUUUGAAAUAUGAGAUAAGAACACCAUGAUAGGGAAAGGGUGGAUAAGAAGGUGGAUCAUUUGUGGGAAGAGGAAGUAUGAAGUAGCAUUUUGGUAAAGUACAUAAGAGGACCCUAAUUCUCCCAAAAUAUAUUAUGGAAAUGGAAGAAAACUUGUUGUGAUGCUGAUUUAGCAUUCUAAGCCCUAUGAACACAAAGACUGAUAUCACCAGAAAGGAUUCUGUGAUGAAGAGCAUUACAACACUCAGAAGGGCAUCCACAUAUGCACGACAAAGAUUUCAAACUGAAUGGACAACUUUCAACAAUACAUCUGUAUUAUUAUAGCAUCGCUCUGGGAUAGUCUUGAUUCCUGAUGUAUACAAUUAUAGGGGCCUAAACAAACCUCAAAUAUUUAGCAUGUCCCUGGCCUGUACAACCAUUACCUAGACUUAGCUUUGGCUGAGGAGGAAAGUACUUUACCGCAGCACUCCUGCUUUAAUUUUGUAAUCUCUUUCAGAGUCAAAUUUACCAUGAUCCUUCAAAAUACAGAGUAGAC
rnacentral:lncRNA from 13 species